rnacentral:misc_RNA from 1 species
GAUGAAGAACGCAGCAAAAUGCGAUACUUGGUGUGAAUUGCAGAAUCCCGUGAACCAUCGAGUUUUUGAACGCAAGUUGCGCCCGAAGCCUUUUGGCCGAGGGCACGUCUGCCUGGGCGUCACGCAUCGCGUCGCCCCCCCACAAUUCUCCGUAAAGGGAACUUGUGUUUUGGGGGCGGAUAUUGGUCUCCCGUGCUCAUGGCGUGGUUGGCCGAAAUAGGAGUCCUUUCGAUGGACGCACGAACUAGUGGUGGUCGUAAAACCCCUCGUCUUUUGUUUCGUGCUGUUGCUCGCAAGGUAAACUCUUUAAAAACCCCAAUGUGUCGUCUCUUGACGACGCUUCGACCGCGACCCUAGGUCAGGCGGGACUACCCGCUGAGUUUAAGCAUAUCAAUAAGCGGAGGA